rnacentral:rRNA from 1 species
GACGAACGCUGGCGGCGUGCUUAACACAUGCAAGUCGAACGGUAAGGCCCUUCGGGGUACACGAGUGGCGAACGGGUGAGUAACACGUGGGUGAUCUGCCCUGCACUUCGGGAUAAGCCUGGGAAACUGGGUCUAAUACCGGAUAGGACUCCUGGCUUCAUGGUUGGGGGUGGAAAGCUUUUGCGGUGUAGGAUGGGCCCGCGGCCUAUCAGCUUGUUGGUGGGGUAAUGGCCUACCAAGGCGACGACGGGUAGCCGGCCUGGGAGGGUGACCGGUCACCCUGGGACUGAGAUACGGCCCAGACUCCUACGGGAGGCAGCAGUGGGGAAUGUUGCACAAUGGGCGCAAGCCUGAUGCAGCGACGCCGCGUGAGGGAUGACGGCCUUCGGGUUGUAAACCUCUUUCAGCUAUGACGAAGCGCAAGUGACGGUAGUAGCAGAAGAAGGACCGGCCAACUACGUGCCAGCCGCCGCCGUAA